UUCGGAGUGAGCGGCGGACGGGUUAGUAACGCGUGGGAAUAUACCCAGUUCUAAGGAAUAGCCUCUGGAAACGGAGAGUAAUACCUUAUACGCCCUUCGGGGGAAAGAUUUAUCGGAAUUGGAUUAGCCCGCGUUAGAUUAGAUAGUUGGUGGGGUAACGGCCUACCAAGUCGACGAUCUAUAGCUGGUUUGAGAGGAUGAUCAGCAACACUGGGACUGAGACACGGCCCAGACUCCUACGGGAGGCAGCAGUGGGGAAUCUUAGACAAUGGGCGCAAGCCUGAUCUAGCCAUGCCGCGUGAGUGAUGAAGGCCUUAGGGUCGUAAAGCUCUUUCGCCAGAGAUGAUAAUGACAGUAUCUGGUAAAGAAACCCCGGCUAACUCCGUGCCAGCAGCCGCGGUAAUACGGAGGGGGUUAGCGUUGUUCGGAAUUACUGGGCGUAAAGCGUACGUAGGCGGACUAGUCAGUCAGAGGUGAAAUCCCAGGGCUCAACCCUGGAACUGCCUUUGAUACUGCUAGUCUUGAGUUCGAGAGAGGUGAGUGGAAUUCCGAGUGUAGAGGUGAAAUUCGUAGAUAUUCGGAGGAACACCAGUGGCGAAGGCGGCUCACUGGCUCGAUACUGACGCUGAGUACGA
rnacentral:rRNA from 1 species